AUUGAACGCUGGCGGCAGGCCUAACACAUGCAAGUCGAACGAGUGGCGGACGGGUGAGUAACGUCUGGGAAACUGCCUGAUGGAGGGGGAUAACUACUGGAAACGGCAGCUAAUACCGCAUACCAUCCGAUGCGCCCAGGUAGGAUUAGCCUGUUGGUGGGGUAACGGCUCACGAAGGCGACGAUCCCUAGCUGGUCUGAGAGGAAGACCAGCCACACUGGAACUGGGACACGGUCCAGACGCCUACGGGGUGCAGCAGUGGGGAAUAUUGCACAAUGGGCGCAAUCCUGAUGCAGCCAUGCCGCGUGUAUGAAGAAGGCCAUCGGGUUGUAAAGUACUUUCAGCGGGGAGGCGUUACCCGCAGAAGAAGCACCGGCUAACACCGUGCCAGCAGCCGCGGUAAUUC
rnacentral:rRNA from 1 species